GACGAACGCUGGCGGCGUGCUUAACACAUGCAAGUCGUACGGUAAGGCCCUUUCGGGGGUCCACGAGUGGCGAACGGGUGAGUAACACGUGAGUAACCUGCCCACAACUUUGGGAUAACGCUAGGAAACUGGUGCUAAUACUGGAUAUGUGCUCCUGCUGCAUGGUGGGGGUUGGAAAGCUCCGGCGGUUGUGGAUGGACUCGCGGCCUAUCAGCUUGUUGGUGGGGUAGUGGCCUACCAAGGCGGCGACGGGUAGCCGGACUGGGAGGGUGACCGGCCACAUUGGGACUGAGAUACGGCCCAGACUCCUACGGGAGGCAGCAGUGGGGAAUAUUGCACAAUGGGCGCAAGCCUGAUGCAGCAACGCCGCGUGCGGGAUGACGGCCUUCGGGUUGUAAACCGCUUUCAGCAGGGACGAAGCUUUUUGUGACGGUACCUGCAGAAGAAGCACCGGCUAACUACGUG
rnacentral:rRNA from 1 species